AUAGACUAGAUUGGCAAAAGCCGAAAAGCCGAAAUGCCGAAAAGUCGGUAUUUUGGGAAUUUGCGAGCGUGCGAAUGCUUGUAAAAUAGUUGGGUUUGUAUAUUUGGUAACCUAAAGUAAUAAACUGCAGUACGCGCGAUUUCGUACAUUUUGAUAAUUUGGGCUUAAUGGGCCAAAGAUCGGGUUCAUGGGCCAACGGGCCCAAUUCGGUAAGUAUGCGCGGUAAUCCCCAACCAUAGUGGGCUUGGAGCUGUGAGGGAAUUCGGAGUGGCCACCCUUUCUGAAAGUUUGAUUUUCUUCUGGUGAACUGGACAUCCUUUUAUUUACGUUUGAAGUUUUGGGUUUUUAAAUGUAAUAAGGCCGCUUAAUUAUUUUUGAUGGUUUUAAUAUGUAUUACUAAGAUAGGUAAUACUUAUUUUAACUGUUGAAAUUGGAUAGCUUUAGGGCGCGUUUUUAAAAACAA